rnacentral:rRNA from 1 species
UACGGGGGGAGCAAGCGUUGUUCGGAUUUACUGGGCGUAAAGGGCGCGUAGGCGGUCAGCACAAGUCAGUUGUGAAAUCUCCGGGCUUAACUCGGAAAGGUCAACUGAUACUGUGCGACUAGAGUGCGGAAGGGGCAACUGGAAUUCUCGGUGUAGCGGUGAAAUGCGUAGAUAUCGAGAGGAACACCGGUGGCGAAGGCGGUUCUCUGGGCCUGUACUGACGCUGAGGAACGAAAGCGUGGGGAGCGAACAGG